UACCUCAAAAAACCACAACAGUCUGUUUCAUCCGUAUAGGAAUCAUCAGGUGGUCUUUGAUGAUUCCUAUACGGAUGAAACAGACUGUUGUGGUUUUU
rnacentral:miRNA from 1 species